rnacentral:rRNA from 1 species
UUUAUGGAGAGUUUGAUCUUGGCUCAGGACGAACGCUGGCGGCGUGCCUAAUACAUGCAAGUCGAGCGCGGGAAGCAAGCAGAUCUCCUUCGGGGGUGACGCUUGUGGAACGAGCGGCGGACGGGUGAGUAACACGUGGGCAACCUACCUGUAAGACUGGGAUAACUCCGGGAAACCGGGGCUAAUACCGGAUGAUACAUAUCGUCGCAUGACGAGAUGUUGAAAGGCGGCAUAUGCUGUCACU